UACGUAGGUGGCAAGCGUUGUCCGGAUUUACUGGGCGUAAAGAGCGCGCAGGCGGCUGGUCAAGUCCGAUGUGAAAUCUCCCGGCUUAACUGGGAAACUGCAUCGGAAACUGAUCGGCUUGAAGGUGGGAGAGGGUAGUGGAAUUCCCGGUGUAGUGGUGAAAUGCGUAGAUAUCAGGAGGAACACCCGUAGCGAAGGCGGCACUCUGGGCCGAUACUGACACUGAGGAGCGAAAGCGUGGGGAGCGAACAGG
rnacentral:rRNA from 1 species